UACAGAGGUCCCAAGCGUUGUUCGGAUUCAUUGGGCGUAAAGGGUGCGUAGGUGGCGCCGUAAGUCAGGUGUGAAAUCUCGGGGCUUAACUCCGAAACUGCAUUUGAUACUGCGGUGCUUGAGGACUGGAGAGGAGACUGGAAUUUACGGUGUAGCGGUGAAAUGCGUAGAUAUCGUAAGGAAGACCAGUGGCGAAGGCGGGUCACUGGACAGUAACUGACACUGAGGCACGAAGGCCAGGGGAGCAAAAGGG
rnacentral:rRNA from 1 species